rnacentral:rRNA from 1 species
GCAAGCCUGAUCCAGCCAUGCCGCGUGUGUGAAGAAGGCCUUCGGGUUGUAAAGCACUUUUGUCCGGAAAGAAAAGCUUCGGGUUAAUAGCCCGGGGUUAUGACGGUACCGGAAGAAUAAGCACCGGCUAACUUCGUGCCAGCAGCCGCGGUAAUACGAAGGGUGCAAGCGUUACUCGGAAUUACUGGGCGUAAAGCGUGCGUAGGUGGUUUGUUAAGUCUGAUGUGAAAGCCCUGGGCUCAACCUGGGAACUGCAUUGGAAACUGGCUGACUAGAGUGCGGUAGAGGGGUGUGGAAUUCCCGGUGUAGCAGUGAAAUGCGUAGAUAUCGGGAGGAACAUCUGUGGCGAAGGCGACACCCUGGACCAGCACUGACACUGAGGCACGAAAGCGUGGGGAGCAAACAGGAUUAGAUACCCUGGUAGUCCACGCCCUAAACGAUGCGAACUGGAUGUUGGGGGCAACUUGGCCCUCAGUAUCGAAGCUAACGCGUUAAGUUCGC